GUAAAUAGAAGCUCCCUAGGCUGGACUGGGGCGGGCGCGCCAGCCAUGAGGACAGCACAAGCAAAGUCCAUUUUCAGACUCAGCGCCUGCCUCCCAAGUCUCGCCCGUCAGGCUGGAGAGUCCCUCCCGGGGAUCCCUGGGAUUUAGCACAGUGCCUGGCAUAUCGUAGAUGGGGAAACAGAGACUCAGAGAAGUCCGGUCAUUUGCCUUGUUGGGAAGCAGCCGGGUGCUCUGGGACUUGCCCUGCUGUCGACUUCCCAUUUUCUAAGCAGAAGACAGAAAUAGACCACGGAAGGCACCAAGGAGACCCAGACGUGCCUCCAGCCCCUGGGAAAAGCUCUGGGAAGUCAGCACCUUACCAGACACAGGGCCACCUAAAGGGCUGCUGGAGUCGUCCGAAGGAUCUUUCCUGAGGAGAGCUGGUCAUGUCUCCCCAGGAAUUGCCGUCAAGAGCGGUGACAUCAGGGGUGCCCUCCCACUUUGCCCCCUCCUCCUUCUCCGGGCUGGUGUCAUCUUUCCGGCUGCCAUGGGCCUCACAGUGAAUCAGAUCAGUAGUGUCAUCAGUGAGGCUGACGUUGAGCCCAAGAGGAGCCGAGGAGCUGGUUUUUCUUCCUUCCACGUUGAACAGGUCUGGACGAUAUGGGACCCAUGGUCAUGGCCUGUUGGAAUGUCAGACUUCUUAGAACCAAAAGACGCAGUGGAAGCCGACAGCGGCGGCUGAUUCAUUCCUUGGUUCCCCGUCUGCUCCUCCAUAAUGAAGGCUCCCUGAGAUGUAAACAUUACGGUCAAACUGUCGGAUCAAAUCCAGGAGCCCCACGCUCGAGGAGGAGGAGCGGGACCUCGCACGGGCGAGGCCGACAGGCAGGUGAAGCCGCGGGUGCUCAGAGAUGUUCGUCCGAGGUCACCAAGUAAGACUCAGACUCAGGCCGGCUGACUCCAGAAAGACUUCCCUCUGUCCGCCCUACACCCACUUUUAAAAUCACCAAGCCUUGCCUCCCACCUGCCCGUGGCCACCCUCUUGCACAGCAAAGCUCCAGGAUGGUUGGUGUCUGUUCCACAUGCCCUGUUUUUCUAGACAACUUCCUUUUGGAGAAGAGAUGGCACAUAUGCACGGCUACCGUUGCUUCCCCAGCGUGGCCCAUGACAGACAUGUGUAAUCAAUCUCGGCAUUGCAUCCCCCAGAUCCUGGCCUCCGCCUCAGUCUUCAGGUACUCAAGCACCAACCAUCUCCUGCCAACCAAGGAAAUCCACUUCCCGUCCUCCUUCUGUGGCACUGUUGCAUCAAGCCGAGCUUCCAAACCAGCCUUUGCCCCAGAAGAACAAUAUAUAUCUCCCCUCUCUCCCGUUAAUCGGCUGAAUGCAAGACUCAGCUUAGAAAAGCCACUUCCUGACUUGUUGAUUUUAGCCAUUCUGACUGCUGUGAGGUGAUAUCUCAUUGUGGUUUUGAUUUGUAUUUCCC